CCAAUAGCGUAUAUUAAAGUUGUUGUGGUUAAAAAGCUCGUAGUUGAACCUUGGGCCUGGCUGGCCGGUCCGCCUCACCGCGUGUACUGGUCCGGCCGGGCCUUUCCCUCUGUGGAACCUCAUGCCCUUCACUGGGUGUGACGGGGAAGCAGGACUUUUACUGUGAAAAAAUUAGAGUGCUCCAAGCAGGCCUAUGCUCGAAUACAUUAGCAUGGAAUAAUAAAAUAGGACGUGCGGUUCUAUUUUGUUGGUUUCUAGGACCGCCGUAAUGAUUAAUAGGGACAGUCGGGGGCAUCAGUAUUCAAUUGUCAGAGGUGAAAUUCUUGGAUUUAUUGAAGACUAACUACUGCGAAAGCAUGUGCCAAGGAUGUUUUCAUUAAUCAGGAACGAAAGUUAGGGGAUCGAAGACGAUCAGAUACCGUCGUAGUCUUAACCAUAAACUAUGCCGACUUGGGAUGGGUAAACGUUGACUUUAUUGACUUUAUUCGCACCAUAUG
rnacentral:misc_RNA from 1 species